rnacentral:rRNA from 1 species
GACGAACGCUGGCGGCGUGCCUAAUACAUGCAAGUUGAGCGCUGAAGGUUGGUACUUGUACCGACUGGAUGAGCAGCGAACGGGUGAGUAACGCGUGGGGAAUCUGCCUUUGAGCGGGGGACAACAUUUGGAAACGAAUGCUAAUACCGCAUAAAAACUUUAAACACAAGUUUUAAGUUUGAAAGAUGCAAUUGCAUCACUCAAAGAUGAUCCCGCGUUGUAUUAGCUAGUUGGUGGGGUAAAGGCUCACCAAGGCGAUGAUACAUAGCCGACCUGAGAGGGUGAUCGGCCACAUUGGGACUGAGACACGGCCCAAACGCCUACGGGAGGCAGCAGUAGGGAAUCUUCGGCAAUGGACGAAAGUCUGACCGAGCAACGCCGCGUGAGUGAAGAAGGGUUUCGGAUCGUAAAACUCGGUUGGUAGAGAAGAACGUUGGUGAGAGUGGAAAGCUCAUCAAGUGACGGUAACUACCCAGAAAGGGACGGCUAACUACGUG